ACCCACACAUAAUUACCCACACAUAAUAAUGUGUGGUAAUUUAGCCACACAUAAUCUCAAAAUGUGUAGGUAAAUCACAUAAGAAAAAAAUCAUAGUUAUUGACAUUUAAAAUGUGUGGCAAAAACAUUUUCGUGACAUUUAUUAUUUUACAGUUAUUUUUAAGUUUUAUUUAUGUAUAAUAAGACUUAUUUUUGAAUUUGUUGUGCCAACGUGGCAAAAUAAUAAAAGUUAUUAACCACACAUAAUUAUAAAUUAUUUAUGUGUGGGUAAUGAAUUUUUAUCAUUAUUAUUCUUGAAAUCUAAAAAACGUGGAAAAAUAUUUUUAGCCACAUUUAUAUUUUGGCUUUAAUUAGUUAUUUAUGCAAAUCUUAAUUGAUGUUUUACCCACACAUAAAUACUCACACAUAUUCUGAAAAUUGUGUAGGUGAAUCAGUUAGAAACUUUCAAUUAGUUAUUGACUUUUAAAAUGUGUAGCAGAUAACAUUUAUUGUAUAGCGGUAAUUUUUUUUAAGUUUUAUUUAUUUAUUUAACAAAAUUUUAUUGACUUUCAAUUUGUUUCACGAUAAUUUUUUAAGUUUAUUUAUUUAUUUAACAAAAAUUUAUUUUAAAUCUAUUGUGUCGAUGUAACAAAUUAAUAAAAUUUCUUAACCACACAUAAUUAUCAAAUAUAUGUGUGUCUGAUUAAUUUUAUAAUUAUUAAUUGUUGACAAUACAUAAUAGUUUUAUUUAAUCUUCACGUUUUUUUAAAAAUUAUUAUCUCAUCACGUUAGAUAGUUGUAACUACCUCAACCACUAUCUUUUUUUUUUUUUUUUGAGGGGCAACCACUAUCUAUUUCCUUGUAGUUUUUUUUUUAAUUAUUUUUCCUUAUACAAUUAAUAAGCCACUAAUUCUAAAAGUAACACCCUUCCCUUCCGAUAAUUAACUUCCACAAUCAUGGUGACUCUUUACAACUGAUGGCGUGGGAAAAAAAAUUACAAUUAUAUUUUUUGGCGGCAUCUCUUCACCACCACGAUCGAAGCACCACUCCCAAUUCCCAUAUUCCACAAUAAAUACUCCUUCCUCUCAUAUUUUCAAUAUAGUAAUUUGCUCUCUCUACAAUUUCUAAUUUCCUCUUGUCAUGUUCUAUUCGCCGCAGAAAUCAAAAGUUCUAGCAAGAGAGAAAGAGAGGAUGGAAGCUAACGACCUCAAUCACACGCCAUGAGUUCAAGCAGCGCGCUUUCUUCCGGCGAUGAGAGAAGCGUCUCAAAAUUCCAAAUGGUAUUCACUUUUGAGAGAUGCAGAUCAUAUAUGCCAUGUAUUGCAAUACGACGAGUCGAUGAAGAUGGUGAAGCUAAACCACAAAAGAUUGGAGUGAAGAUCUUGAAGUGCUUGGUUUAUCUUCAAGACACAUAAUAGAUUUUUGGCACCUUAGUUAUUUAAAUAUUUUGAAAUGUUUGUAAUUGGCAUAUUAUUUUGAUUUUAUGUAAUAUUAUUUGAUGAAAUUUCUAUGCUACAAUCGUGUCAGAUGCA